rnacentral:sRNA from 1 species
GCGGAGGAAAAGAAACCAACAGGGAUUGCCUUAGUAACGGCGAGUGAAGCGGCAACAGCUCAAAUUUGAAAUCUGGUCCCCUUUGGGGGCCCGAGUUGUAAUUUGAAGAGGAUGCUUUUGGCGAGGCGCCGUCCGAGUUCCCUGGAACGGGACGCCGCAGAGGGUGAGAGCCCCGUACGGUCGGACGCCGAGCCUCUGUAAAGCUCCUUCGACGAGUCGAGUAGUUUGGGAAUGCUGCUCAAAAUGGGAGGUAAACCCCUUCUAAAGCUAAAUACUGGCCAGAGACCGAUAGCGCACAAGUAGAGUGAUCGAAAGAUGAAAAGCACUUUGAAAAGAGAGUUAAAAAGCACGUGAAAUUGUUAAAAGGGAAGCGCUUGCGACCAGACUUGCGCCCGUCGGAUCAACCGUCGCUUGCGGCGGCGCACUCCGGCGGGCUCAGGCCAGCAUCAGUUCGUCCGGGGGGAGAAAGGCGGCGGGAAUGUGGCUCUUCGGAGUGUUAUAGCC